ACGUGAUCUGAGUUCAGACCGGAGUAAUCCAGGUCAGUUUCUAUCUAUAACGGAGCUCUUUCCAGUACGAAAGGACCGAAAAAGCAUGGCCAAUACCUUCUGCACGCCAUAAUUAACAAUUUAUGAUUAAACCUUAAUAAAUAAUUUAUCCGCCAACCAGCUCUAAAAAAGAGC
rnacentral:rRNA from 1 species